UACAGAGGUGGCAAGCGUUGUUCGGAAUUACUGGGCGUAAAGGGCGCGUAGGCGGCCUUCUAAGUCAGACGUGAAAUCCCCAAGCUUAACUUGGGAACUGCAUCCGAUACUGGAUGGCUUGAAUCCGGGAGAGGGAUGCAGAAUUCCAGGUGUAGCGGUGGAAAUGCGUAGAUAUCUGGAGGAAUACCGGUGGCGAAGGCGGCAUCCUGGACCGGCAUUGACGCUGAGGAGCGAAAGCUAGGGGAGCAAACGGGGAU
rnacentral:rRNA from 1 species